UACGAAGGGGGCUAGCGUUGUUCGGAAUUACUGGGCGUAAAGCGCACGUAGGCGGAUAUUUAAGUCAGGGGUGAAAUCCCAGAGCUCAACUCUGGAACUGCCUUUGAUACUGGGUAUCUUGAGUAUGGAAGAGGUAAGUGGAAUUCCGAGUGUAGAGGUGAAAUUCGUAGAUAUUCGGAGGAACACCCGUGGCGAAGGCGGCUACUCUGGGACGGUACUGACGCUGAGACGCGAAAGCGUGGGGAGCGAACAGG
rnacentral:rRNA from 1 species